rnacentral:misc_RNA from 1 species
UCAAAAUCGUUUUUAGAGCAUGCAAGAGGCCUAAGAAUCUUGUUAAUGUCCAAAAAUAAUCUUGGUCGAAGCUUGUUAAACGAUGUUGGAGGGGAGAUUUUCCGAAACACAGUGUCAUUAGAAUUUCUUGAUCUGUCUGACAAUAAUAUCACUGUUUUGUCUGCGCACAUGUUCAACAACAUGAACCAAUUACGGGCCUUGAAUUUACGAAAAAAUCAGCUUUUGACAGUAAAUGUGAAAAUGAAGCACAUGAGGAAUAUAAACUACAUCAACCUUGAACAAAACAGACUGGCAACUAUUGAAUCGGAAUCGAGAACAUUAUUUAAAAGGUUAUUUCAAACAUCAAAGCUUGUCAUCUAUUUCUCUGAAAAUCCUAUUUUGUGCUCCUGUGAUAACAUAGACUUUCUUGAGUGGAUAACUAUCAAUCGACUUCAUUUUCAAGAUUUUUUCCAUUACAACUGUUCAUUUUCAAGUUCACAUGAGUUUAACUUUAUGUCUGUUAUGUCUGCUAAAGCUUCAGUCACGUCUAUGAAAGAGACUUGUAAAUCAUCUAUUGGUAUAUACAUGUAUAUUGCAAUUGCUACUGGAGUUUUGUUUCUACUGAGUAUAGUCGUUGGCAUUGUGUUAGUAAAAAAAAUUAAGUGCAAUAAUAGAAAUGCCGAGACAAGUGUUUAACAUAUGCCAAUACAUUUAACAUUCAGUCGCAGAAUGUGAUCUUUUUUGACAUGAUCACUUGGUCUUUAAAAUAGUUCGUAUUACUUAUUUAAGAAUCCAUGUUAAUAUGUUUACACAAGAAUAUAUUUGUCAAAAAACAAGAAAAAAAUAUUGAAAAGUACAAUAUUGUUAGUUUUGUAGCAUUUGCGGAUUAUUAAUGGGUGAAAUAGUAAUCCUGGAUAUUUAUAUUGUCCAUUUAACUGUUUUAUCUAAUUUUGAUUUAUUUCAAUAAAUAUGUAAUUUUUACCACUUUAUUUAUGGUAACUCAUUUUGCAACAAUAAAUACAACUUUUUGUC